UAGAAUGUGGUGUAAAGGAAACACGUGGAAUUCUUGAGUUCUUAAAUGUGGGUUCAACUCCUACUGUUCUAG
rnacentral:tRNA from 1 species